GUGACAUCUCACUUAUGACCACUCAGGCAUCACGGGUGACUACCCAGGCUUCAAUGACAACAGCUAAGUGACAUCUCACUUAUGAGCAGAGGUGCUUCGGUAAUGACUGGUCAUGCUUGGUGGAGGAUGACCGGUGGUGACAAACCGGAGGAAACUCUCAUCGUUUACGUACUGUGAUUCACCGUCAGCAAGGAACUGAUCAUUCUGCUCGUCGGAGAGCCGUCGCCAUGACAAUCCCAUCAUGCCCUGAAAUCCACAGGCAAGUACAAGGAAUGCAAUAGAAGCGAGAGCACUGGCACAGUACUCUCUGUGGCACCAUGACAACAGCCCUGUCCCAUUCUAACAUCGGCAGGGGAGUGAAGCCUGGCGCAGGACAGAAGCAAAGCUGCAGACAAACUACUAAUGAUUUCUUAUUCAAUAAAACCAACUUCACUGUACUUACAAAUAGUUAUAGCUAUGAUUAUAAAAUGGCUCGGAUAUUUUAUGCAUCAUGAUUGGUCAAAACGCGUCACGUGACAUGCCGUUGUUGUUGUUAUAAUGCACGCCAAACCGUGUCAAAAAGCGCGCAAAAAAAGUUAUAUUGCACGCUCGCGAUUAUGUUAACAUUUACAAUAAUUAAGCAUCAAACUGAAAUUUUCGAGAUGUAGAUUUAUUUACUAUAGUAUUGAUUUUCUAGACUGUUUAUCUAGACUUACUGUUAAAUUGUUAUAGCGUGUGUCGCAAUUUAAUCAACUGUAAAUGUGUUUGAUUUUGACUUUUGGAACUGGAAUAAAUUUUCGAGAUCUAGCCUUACUAUUUAUUUUCUAGACUAUUUAUCUAGACUGUUUAUCUAGACAUACUGUUAAUUGUGUGUGAAGCAAUUUACUAAACUGUAAAUGUGUUUAAUUGUUUUGACGUUUGGAAUUGAAAUAAAUUUUCGUGAUCUAGA